AUUGAACGCUGGCGGCAGGCCUAACACAUGCAAGUCGAACGAGUGGCGGACGGGUGAGUAAUGUCUGGGAAACUGCCUGAUGGAGGGGGAUAACUACUGGAAACGGUAGCUAAUACCGCAUACCAUCAGAUGUGCCCAGAUGGGAUUAGCUAGUUGGUGGGGUAACGGCGCAACAAGGCGACGAUCCCGAGCUGGUCUGAGAGGAUGCCCAGCACACCUGGAACGGAGACACGGGCCAGACGCCUACGGUAGGCAGCAGUGGGGAAUAUUGCACAAUGGGCGCAAGCCUGAUGCAGCCAUGCCGGGUGUAUGAAGAAGGCCUUCGGGUUGUAAAGUACUUUCAGCGGGGAGGCGUUACCCGCAGAAGAAGCACCGGCUAACUCCGUGCCAGCAGCCGCGGUAAUAC
rnacentral:rRNA from 1 species